rnacentral:rRNA from 1 species
UAAAACUUUCAACAACGGAUCUCUUGGUUCUGGCAUCGAU